CAAUCCUCAGUAUCAAGAAAAAAAAGAAAAUGAUACCAUAUGUAAAUAUUCCUACCACAGAAGAUACUCAUUCAAGUCAAUUAAUCUUCAAUUUGCAAAAUGACAAAUAAGAAACAGUAAAUGCAGAACAUAUUUCUUCAGCUUGUAGGAAAUAAUAAGAAAAAGAUUACAAUUUCAAUAAUCUUUUGAGUGAACGAUAACACAAAAGGGUCUUAGAUAUUUGGCAUUUAUUCAUUCACCCAUGCAUAUUACAAAUUUCUUGCUAUUCUAUAUCCCAAGCACCAUGCUAGAUACUAGGAUUAAAAAGAUGUAUAACACAUCUUAUAUAAUCAACUUUUUAAAUGAAUACUCUUAAUAGUUAUUUGCUUAAAAAAUAACAUAUAAUAAUUUUAUGAUAUAAGUAUAAAAAUCUCUCAAAGAUAUACAGCCAAUAGUAAUUAUGAAUUUAGCUGGCUAUUUCCCAAGAGGCUUCCAAUAUUGGGUUACCUGAGUUCCUCACUUGAACUCCUUACAAAUACUGAUAGAUUUUUUGGUUCACUAAAUAUAAUGUAAUAAAUUUUGUUCUACCUGUAAGUCUAACUGUAUGCCUAGAAGUAAAGAUAUCUUACUGUUAGUUAAACCAUGAAGAAAAUGAAUGACAUAACUAUCUUCUUAUAGCUGUAACUCAGAAAACAACAAAAACAGUUUAAUUCUUGUUUCAGGAAGAAUCAAGGAGAUGUGAGCAUGUUCUUAAUGGUACAUACUUAUCCAAUGCAGUGUCAAGAAAUUAUUAUAUAUAUG
rnacentral:lncRNA from 1 species